UCCUUGGAGGACUAGUGGUUAGGCCUUGGCGCUCUCAGCCACCGCGGCCCAGGUUCGAUUCCUGGCCGGGGAA